CUUCAAUUACUUUGACUUUGUGAAGAACCAAUCUACAACUACUUUUGAAUCACGUUUCAAAUGGAGCAAAGGUGGUCGACGAAGCAAUCCCUCAAUCUUCGUCAGGUUUCACCAAUGUAGAGGAGGCCAGAUCGGGAGCACUGCAUACUGGAGACAACCCCAAAGUAUUCACAGGUGAAGUGUUGCCUCACCAGGAAGGACUGUUUGGCGCUCUGAAUGGAGGUGAGGGCAGAGGAAUCCAAUCUGCACGGAAUGACUGUACAAGAUCAUGAGGUGGAGGUGGUCUGUUGAGGUUCUUCCAACUGGCUUUGGCCCCAUCUCCAGGCCAAUUGAGUGAUCUGGCACUUUGCUGGCUCCAAGGGAGUUCAAAGAGGUUUGGAGUGGAGUGAGUGGCCUGGAGGCCAAGAAAUCUGGAGACGGGGCACAAGCCCAUGAUCAACUCCAUUUCUCACCCUUCUUGCCAAUCAAAACAUCAAGCAAGAUCAAAAUGAACUAGGAUAAGAAUGGAAGGCAAGUGGUCGUUCAGCACUGUCUGCCUGUGUUUAACCAGUUUCUCUCUCUUCCUCUUGCUUGCUGCUGCCAAAGGAAGGUGCCAGAGACUUGGGUUUUGAGCAAGGUUUGAUCAGCGCAGUUUGUGGAUUGAACCCUGCAGUUCAUGUUAUAUGUGUUUCUAGUCACUCCUUUUUUCUAUUGCUAUUUUAUGCAAUUUUGAUCAGGGUGGAAUGGCUCCACUACCUGCAGUCAACGAACAACACAGUGCUAACGAACCGAACUGAAGUAAACUGAACAUUCCUCACCCCGUUUCAAGGACUCCAUGGUUUGGCAACUAUGUGUAUGGCAUCCGUUAGUCUCGCGAGACCAUGGAUCUACACCUGGAACGUCUUCUCCAGGGUGAAGGCCUGGGCAAGGUUGUAUGGAAGACCGGCAGGUGCCCAUGCAGCGAGUCUCCCACACCACGCCACCGAUGUCCAAGGGAAGGGCAAGGGCCGAUACAUCUUGGUACCAGUGACGUCGCAGGAGGAGUUGCCAGAGCGAGGUUGAAGGCAACAUCGGACUGCCUUAGGGACUCCAGCUCCAGAUUUAUCCUCAGGGUUUACUCCCGAAGCCUUUCCCAUGAGUGGGUAUGGCUGCAAGGCAGCGGUGGUUUGAAAUCAGAGAUUUCCUUCUCUUAGAUGGACUGCCUUCCCAGGAUGACGAGCUCCAUCUACCCAAUAACUACAACUAUAAUACAACCAUAUAACCAUAUAACAAUCACAGCAGGGAAGCAGGUCAUCUUGGCCCCUUCAGUCCGUGCUGAACGCUUACUCUCACCUAGUCCCACUGACCCACACUCAACCCAUAACCCUCCAUUCCUUUCCUGUCCAUAUACCUAUCCAAUUUUACUUUAAAUGACAAUACCGAACCUGCCUCUACCACUUCUACUGGAAGCUCGUUCCAUACAGCUACCACUCUCUGAGUAAAGAAAUUCCCCCUCGUGUUACCCUUAAACUUUUGCCCCUUAACUCUCAACUCAUGUCCUCUUGUUUGAAUCUCCCCUACUUUCAAUGGAAAAAGCCUAUCCACAUCAACGCUAUCUAUCCCCCUCAUAAUUUUAAAUACCUCUAUCAAGUCCCCCCUCAACCUUCUAUGCUCCAAAGAAUAAAGACCUAACUUGUUCAAUCUUUCCCUGUAACUUAGGUGCUGAAACCCAGGUAACAUUCUAGUAAAUCUUCUCUGUCCGCUCUCUAUAUUGUUCACGUCUUUCCUAUAAUUCAGUGACCAGAACUGUACACAAUAAUCCAAAUUCGGCCUUACCAAUGCCUUGUACAAUUUUAACAUUACAUCCCAACUCCUAUACUCAAUGCUCUGAUCUAUAAAGGCCAUCUGCCAUCGUUCAGCCCACUCUUAGCUAUAUGCGGAAACUAUAACUAUAUGCGGAAAUUAAACUCAAUGUUCCCUUUCCGAUCUCUGAAGAGUGGGUAUCUGUAACAGUUAUUAUAUUGCUAAUGUGUUUUGUUAUGCUUUCAAUUACAUGCAUAAAAAUGUUAAAGUUUAACAAGUUCUUAAAGCUAGUGGGAAGAUUAUCAACAUAAUGCUCAUUAUAUAACAGAAUAUAAUACAUUGAACUAGUGGUGAUCUUUAAACCUAUUCCAAGAUCAAUUUAACCUAUCCCUCCUACAUGACUCUCCAUUAUUCUAUCAACCAUGCUCCUGUCUAAGAGGUUUUAAUUGUUCCUAAUGUAUCUGCCUCUAUAAGAGAGGAGACGUGAUAGAGGUGUACAAGAUAUUAAGAGGAAUAGACAGAGUGGACAGCCAGCACCUCUUCCCCAGGGCACCACUGCUCAAUACAAGAGGACAUGGCUUUAAGGUAAGGGGUGGGAAGUUCAAGGGGGAUAUUAGAGGAAGUUUUUUUACUCAGAGAGUGGUUGGUGCGUGGAAUGCACUGCCUGAGUCAGUGGUGGAGGCAGAUACACUAGUGAUAGUUUAAGAGACUACUAGACAAGUAUAUGGAGGAAUUUAAAGUGGAGGGUUAUAUGGGAGGCAGGGUUUAAGGGUUGGCAAAACAUUGUGGGCUGAAGGGCCUGUACUGUGCUGUAUUGUUCUAUGUUCUAUGUGUAACCACCCUUGGCAAGACAUUCUAUUGUUACGACUGUGCCCCAACUCUGAGGGGCCGAAGGGUACAAAGUAGCCCCCUCCUUUUUGAGAAUUGCAAGAUCGCUAUUAAUGCGGGUCUGGGACCCAGGAAAUGAGAGGGAGACACACAGAAUCCACAAGGGGUUUGGAAUGCCCUGGCCCCUCAGUGAUACAAAGCCACGGAAAACAGCCAUUGUCUCUUGGAGACGAAAUUGUGUAUUGAGUACUGUACUAUUUAUUUGAAGCCCUCAGGGAAUGAACAAAGUGGUCUGGUUGAGGGAUGGCAUCAUUCUAACCUGAUUGACAUCUGAGACCCCAUGAGUAAGGAUAAAAGAAGGUCUGGGGAACAACCCCUUUAGACGCACCAGGAGAAACGCUAGAAAUCCUGUGACAGCGUUUAAUAGCGACAGCCGGUGGGGCCCGCGUGCAUCCUAUCCCUUUGCCCGGGAUUGGCGGGACUGACCACAGAAGAUGGCUUAGCUAAAAGGAAAAGGACACCAACGACAUUUCGAAGGAUCGACAUCAUAGAAAGGAAAAACUCUGGCAAGUUCCAAAAUCUCUCUCUCUUGACUCCAACCGAAGGCUGCAGCCUGAAUGAACUAAAUUGACUUUUAUAUUUCCAUCGGACAAUACAUUAUCCCCUAGGCAACGAUAGAGCUAUUUCUUAUUGAUUAUUAUUAUACCCGCACUUUUAGAUUUAGUAUUGAUGACGUAUAUUAGCUGUAUGUUCACAUUGAUAUUAUUUUUGUGUAUUUUUAUCAAUAAAUACUGUUAAAAAUAGUACCAUCAGACUUCAACGGACCUCUCUAUCUUUGCUGGUAAUUGACCCAGUUACGGAGUACAUAACUCUAUGCACCCACCAUUCUCUAUGUACAAACGUUUCUAAUACACCCCUCUUUUAACCUUAAAAUUAUGUUCUUUUGUGUUUUCCCACCCUGAAAAAAAAGUCUCUGCUAUCCACUUGACCAAUGCCUCUUAUCAUCUUACACACCUCUAUCAAGUCAUCCCUCUUUAAUUCCUGAACUAGACUGGGCUGGUGCUAAUCCAUUAGCCAGAUCUGGAGAUUACAGCUCCUCUUGUAUUCCCCCAAAUCUGCUGAUCUAAUUUGUGCAUCAAUAAUGACAUGCUCUGUUAUUUGUUGAGAAUCAUCUGGUCGAUUGUGUUCGAGCAGAGCAAACUUUAUUGACAAAGCUCCGUGGUUCUUCGUGCGAUGAAAGGGUCACUCCAAAAGUCCUGUAAACAUUGGAAAAACAUUGGAAGUAUUGUUUGAGGAAAUAAUGCUGAGACAGUUAUUUAGAAACAAUCAAAACCAUGUGCUGUCUUCCUGGAAUUCACAAAUUCUUGUCAAAAAUUUACCAUCGCCAGCCACCAGCCCUAAGCAAGUUCUUUGAUUAUCUUCAUCUGUUCUUUCAGUUGAAAGAAUUUAGUUUGAAACUGAAUUAUGAGCAGGACUUUGAAUCUGCAUUUUGGGAGGAAAUGCACAUCCAUCUUUAAAUUAAUGGGAUAGCCAUGUUAUGUAUGCUGUUGACUACAUAUUUUACAUUGUUCUUUGGCAUCUCUUCCCAGAUUCUCUGCUCCCUUCAAACCAUCCUUUAUACUAGAUGUGCCUUUGCAUUGAAAAAUAUCUUGUGAUUUAUCUUUAAGGACAAAAUGUUUGGCCCCUGGACUGGAUUUUAUAUUACAUUGCGGAAAUUCAAUAAAACAUUGAUUAGAUUGCAUUAGAAGCAGCUCUAAUUGAUUGAAAGAGCACUUCAGAAAUUAGCAGCAAUUCAAACAGUAAGGUCUGAUCAGUCUAUGUUAUCAAUACUCAUUGAAUUAAGAUAGAAGUUUACAUUGCUGCUAUUCAAAGGAAAUAAAUUUUGGUGCACUUGCAACAUUGUCUCAAUAUCCCUCCUUCUCAAACAAUCUGACUUAAAUGCCUGCCAGAUAUAUUGUACAAUCAUUCUAGUUUGGCAGCCGUGGACUUGAGCAACCAAAGAAAAUGUUUCCAAAUACUUUUUCAGAAUCAGAAUCUGGUUUAUUUUUACUGACAUAUGUCAUGUGUUACGAACCCUGUAACUAAGUCACUUACCAGCAAAGAUAGAGAGGCCCGUUGAAGUCUGAUGGUACUAUUUUUAAAAGUCUUUAUUUAUAAAGGGGCACAAAAAUAAGAUUAAUACAGACAUUCAGAUAAAACUCAAUCUAAAAACGCAGGUAUAAUAAUAAUCAUCAAUUAAGCAAUAGCUCUAUCAUUUUUCUAGGGGAUAUUGUAUUGUCCGAUGGAAAGAUAAAAGUCACAGUCCUUUCAAGCUGCAGCUAUUUGGGUUUAAGAGAGACGGUUUUAAACUUGCCCGGGUCUUUUAUGAGGCCAAUCCGUUGCGUCAGGGGAGUUGGUUCCCCGUUGUUAGUUCCAAGUCGUUUUCUGUGGUACCAGCCACCAGCCCCCAGGCAAGGGAACCGAACGCACGUGGCUUCCUUCAAAUGGCUUCCCGCUAUUACGGGAUCGCUAGCGUUUCUUCUGGUGCAUCUGAGGGGCUGUCCCUACAGCCCCCCCUUUUAUCUUAACUCGUCGGGUAGUAGAUGUCAAUCAGGUUGGGGUGAUGUAAUCUCUCUCUCAACCAGCCCACUUUGCCCGAGGGCCUGCACGUAGCAUAGUCCCCAAUCCACAAACGUUGUCUCCAGGAGACAACGGCCAGGUCUCUCUCAUUUCCUGGGUCCUCUGAGCCAACCCAAUAAUGCUCUUGCGAUUGUCUCAAAGGAGGGGGCUCCCCCCACCCCUUCGGCCCCUCAGAGCUGUGGUACAUUCAUAACACAUGAAAUUUGUUCUUUUGCAACAGCAUUACAGUGCAAAACAUAAAAAUACUAUACAUAACAAAAAUAAAUGAAUCAUGUAAAAGAUGUCUAAAGUUAUUUUGUCUCUGAUUUUUUUUGACUCACUCAUGGAGAGACCUUGGCCCUUAGA